rnacentral:rRNA from 1 species
CUACGGGACGCAGCAGUGAGGAAUAUUGCACGAUGGGGGGAACCCUGAUGCAGCAACGCCGCGUGGAGGAUGACGCAUUUCGGUGUGUAAACUCCUUUUAUAUGUCAAGAAAAUGACGGUAGCAUAUGAAUAGGCACCGGCUAACUCCGUGCCAGCAGCCGCGGUAAUACGGAGGGUGCAAGCGUUACUCGGAAUCACUGGGCGUAAAGGACGCGUAGGCGGGUUGGAAAGUCAGGUGUGAAAUCCUACAGCUUAACUGUAGAACUGCACUUGAAACUUCUAAUCUAGAGUAUGGGAGGGGGAGAUGGAAUUAGUGGUGUAGGGGUAAAAUCCGUAGAUAUCACUAGGAAUACCUAAAGCGAAGGCGAUCUCCUGGAACAUUACUGACGCUAAGGCGUGAAAGCGUGGGGAGCAAACAGGAUUAGAUACCCGCGUAGUC